UGGCCUUCGGGAACUCUGACACAGGUGCUGCAUGGCUGUCGUCAGCUCGUGCGUGAGAUGUUGGGUUAAGUCCCGUAACGAGCGCAACCCUUGUCCUUAGUUACCAGCACGUUAUGGUGGGCACUCUAAGGAGACUGCCGGUGACAAACCGGAGGAAGGUGGGGAUGACGUCAAGUCAUCAUGGCCCUUACGGCCUGGGCUACACACGUGCUACAAUGGUCGGUACAAAGGGUUGCCAAGCCGCGAGGUGGAGCUAAUCCCAUAAAACCGAUCGUAGUCCGGAUCGCAGUCUGCAACUCGACUGCGUGAAGUCGGAAUCGCUAGUAAUCGUGAAUCAGAAUGUCACGGUGAAUACGUUCCCGGGCCUU
rnacentral:rRNA from 1 species